GGGUAAAUAGCUCAGUGGUAGAGCAGGUGCUUAGUAUGCACAAGGUCCUGGGUUCAAUCCCCAGUACCUCCA
rnacentral:tRNA from 1 species